rnacentral:piRNA from 1 species
UCAGUCUAGAAGAAUUUUGAA